AAAUUAUUUUAGGCAUGGGAUCAAAGAAGAAACUUCUUUGUAGCAGCAUCCCAGUACUAGGACUUUUUGUCUCUGCAUGGAAAUCUGAAUAUAUUUAUAUGUUGGAGUGACAUCUCUACAGGAAGCCUAGAGACCUAACUGUUUGCUACAUGUCACCAAAGUUAAAGUGGCUACCUUAAUGAGCAGCCAGGAUGCCAUCAUCUCCGACCUGAAUGACAAUAACCUCCAAACCAGCCUUUGUAUACUCCUUCCUGCUGCUCUGCAGUCCACUUCCACAGACCAGCCAACUGAAUCUCCUUAUAGAUUCAUAAUGGCCAUCAGCACAAAGAUGUUUUAUCUGCAGUCAACCAGUCAUGUUUCAUGAUGGCAUCAAAAUGUGCUGGAAAAGGUCAGAGAAAAUCAUCAUCAUAAAGUGAAGUGAUUUUCUUCUUUAUGAGCUCCUGAUGUAAACAGACUGAUGAGCACAACACAAUCCUUACUCACCCACAUGACAUCAUACACAAUCACAGCUAAAUGUUUCUAUCUGUCAAAGCCUGAAGAGUGACUACCAGAUUGUUGCCUGAUUGCUAAGAAUUGAUGCUUGUUCAACUGGGAUCUAUCCAGAGAAACAUAAUCCACUUCAAGAAUUUUCUGAAAAGGGAAUCUAAUGCAAGGAAUUAAUUGCAAAGAUGAUGCAAUAUCUGAGAACGAUAGAUUUGACAGUUUGGUCUACAUUUCAAGGCUGGUUAGAUGGGAGGUAUGUCCUGGUAUAUUAGUUAAUUUAGGUAUAUCUUACUGAUUUACAUUGCAUGAUUUAUCAGAUGCUAUUGACUCAUUCAAGUAAAUACAUUUAAAAAUUAUACCUUUUGCUCAUACUAGUAAUUGGGUCAGUCAUGCUCUUGAAGGAGGCAUACUGGGAGCCAUACAUUACCAGAGGCAGAGGAUUCAAUGGAUGUUUUCUGUUUUCUCUUCUUCGUGCUCUGUAAUUGAGACACAGAACAAAGGAGGAAGACUAAGUGCUCUGCCUUAACUCAGGCCAGGCUGUGGGCGCAAGUGCACCAACGGCUUUGAGACUAACACACAGCUCAGAACAAGAUUCCAGAGGUGACCAGAGACUGACUAAAAUGGGCCCAAGUCUUGAGAUUGACAUUGACUCCAGAAUGCCAAAGUACUACUACUUCACCAUGAGAAAUUUCAUCUGUCACAAAGCCCAGAGUAUUCAGUUCAACAUAAUUAGCAUCUUCUCUUCUAAUGAGGACAACUAUCUGGAAAGCCAAAUUACAAACAGAAGAAAUUUAGAAGACCUUCCCCAAAGUCGUUAGUGAGGAUAGCCAGAGGAACGUUGCUCAUGUAGCCACUGAAUGGAAAUAACCCUUUGGCCAAGACUCUCCUCUGGAGACCGUAAAUUGUGUGAUGGCAAAGUUCUUUAUCUGAUCCCUUUUGUGUGUGUACUCCACUGUUUAUCUUCUAUAGAGAGCUUCAUUUCUUUCUCUUUAGCUGUAUACUUUUAUACUCUUGUGUGAACCACAGCCUUAAUACUGAUAGCUGCUUGUUAAAUACACUUACAAUGUACUAACUGACCAGAUCACCUGAUUAAAAGAAAUAAUUAUUUUUCAUUAUAUUCUCUUAACUCAGUGCUUU